rnacentral:rRNA from 1 species
AACGAACGCUGGCGGCAUGCCUAACACAUGCAAGUCGAACGAGACCUUCGGGUCUAGUGGCGCACGGGUGCGUAACGCGUGGGAACCUGCCCUUAGGUUCGGAAUAACUCCCCGAAAGGGGUGCUAAUACCGGAUAAUGUCUUCGGACCAAAGAUUUAUCGCCUUUGGAUGGGCCCGCGUUGGAUUAGCUAGUUGGUAGGGUAAAAGCCUACCAAGGCGACGAUCCAUAGGUGGUCUGAGAGGAUGAUCAGCCACACUGGGACUGAGACACGGCCCAGACUCCUACGGGAGGCAGCAGUGGGGAAUAUUGGACAAUGGGCGAAAGCCUGAUCCAGCAAUGCCGCGUGAGUGAUGAAGGCCUUAGGGUUGUAAAGCUCUUUUACCCGGGAUGAUAAUGACAGUACCGGGAGAAUAAGCUCCGGCUAACUCCGUG